rnacentral:rRNA from 1 species
GUGGGGAAUCUUGCGCAAUGGGCGAAAGCCUGACGCAGCCAUGCCGCGUGGAUGAUGAAGGUCUUAGGAUUGUAAAAUCCUUUCACCGGUGAAGAUAAUGACUGUAGCCGGAGAAGAAGCCCCGGUUAACUUCGUGCCAGCAGCCGCGGCAAUACGACGGGGGCUAGCGUUGCUCGGAUUUACUGGGCGUAAAGGGCGCGUAGGCGGACAUUUAAGUCAGGGGUGAAAUCCCGGGGCUCAACCUCGGAACUGCCUUUGAUACUGGGUAGCUUGAGUAUGAGAGAGGUGUGUGGAACUCCGAGUGUAGAGGUGAAAUUCGUAGAUAUUCGGAAGAACGCCAGUGGCGAAGGCGACACACUGGCUCAUUACUGACGCUGAGGCGCGAAAGCGUGGGGAGCAAACAGGAUUAGAUACCCUAGUAGUCC